rnacentral:rRNA from 1 species
GACGAACGCUGGCGGCGUGCCUAAUACAUGCAAGUUGAGCGCUGAAGGUUGGUACUUGUACCGACUGGAUGAGCAGCGAACGGGUGAGUAACGCGUGGGGAAUCUGCCUUUGAGCGGGGGACAACAUUUGGAAACGAAUGCUAAUACCGCAUAAAAACUUUAAACACAAGUUUUAAGUUUGAAAGAUGCAAUUGCAUCACUCAAAGAUGAUCCCGCGUUGUAUUAGCUAGUUGGUGAGGUAAAGGCUCACCAAGGCGAUGAUACAUAGCCUACCUGAGAGGGUGGUCGGCCACAUUGGGACUGAGACACGGCCCAAACCCCUAAGGGAGGCAGCAGUAGGGAAUCUUCGGAAAUGGACGAAAGUCUGACCGAGCAACGCCGCGGGAGUGAAGAAGGGUGUCGGAUCGGAAAACUCGGUUGGUAGAGAAGAAAGUUGGUGAGAGUGGAAAGCUCAUCAAGUGACGGUAACUACACAGAAAGGGACGGCUAACUACGUG